rnacentral:rRNA from 1 species
AGUGCGUGGACACCACGUUACGGCCCGUGCUGAACAUCAUGCCUGUCGUGGCUUGGUUCCCUUCAUCAGGUGCCUUGCUUUGGCCGGCGCGUUUACUUUGAAAAAUUUAGAGUGCUCAACGCAGGCGAUUCGCCUGAAUAACAGUGCAUGGAAUAAUAGAACAAGAUCCUGUUUCUGUUCUGUUGGUUUUUGGAAUACAGGAUAAUGAUUAAGAGGGACAGACGGGGGCAUUCGUAUUGCGGCGCUAGAGGUGAAAUUCUUGGACCGUCGCAAAACGAACUACUGCGAAAGCAUUUGCCAAGAAUGUUUUCAUUGAUCAAGAACGAAAGUUAGAGGUUCGAAGGCGAUCAGAUACCGCCCUAGUUCUAACCAUAAACGAUGCCAACCAGCGAUCCGCCUGAGUUACUCAAAUGACUCGGCGGGCAGCUUCCGGGAAACCAAAGUAUUUGGGUUCCGGGGGAAGUAUGGUUGCAAAGCUGAAACUUAAAGGAAUUGACGGAAGGGCACCACCAGGAGUGGAGCCUGCGGCUUAAUUUGACUCAACACGGGAAAACUUACCCGGCCCGGACACUGGGAGGAUUGACAGAUUGAGAGCUCUUUCUUGAUUCGGUGGAUGGUGGUGCAUGGCCGUUCUUAGUUGGUGGAGCGAUUUGUCUGGUUAAUUCCGAUAACGAACGAGACUCUAGCCUAUUAAAUAGGUGCGUGGUUCUCUGCACCUUGCACCCUUCUUAGAGGGACAAGCGGCUCCUAGCCGCACGAAACAGAGCAAUAACAGGUCUGUGAUGCCCUUAGAUGUCCGGGGCCGCACGCGCGCUACACUGAAGGAAGCAGCGUGUUUUUAUCCCUGUCUGUAAAGACUGGGUAACCCGUGGAACCUCCUUCGUGAUUGGGAUAGGGGCUUGCAAUUGUUCCCCUUGAACGAGGAAUUCCCAGUAAGCGCGAGUCAUAAGCUCGCGUUGAUUACGUCCCUGCCCUUUGUACACACCGCCCGUCGCUACUACCGAUUGAAUGAU